rnacentral:rRNA from 1 species
UUGACCUCGAAUCAGGUAGGACUACCCGCUGAACUUAAGCAUAUCAAYAAGGAAAAAAG